ensembl:misc_RNA Metazoa_SRP Metazoan signal recognition particle RNA
GCUGGGCGUGGUGGCUCACACCUGUAAUCCCAGCUACUCAGGAGGCUGAGACAGGAGAAUCGCUUGAACCCGGGAGGUGGAGACUGCAGUGAGCCACGAUCAUGCCACUGCACUCUAGCCUGGGUGACAGAGCGAGACUCUGUCUCAA